GCCUAAUACAUGCAAGUCGAGCGAACGGACGAGAAGCUUGCUUCUCCGAUGUUAGCGGCGGACGGGUGAGUAACACGUGGAUAACCUACCUAUAAGACUGGGAUAACUUCGGGAAACCGGAGCUAAUACCGGAUAAUAUUUUGAACCGCAUGGUUCAAAAGUGAAAGACGGUCUUGCUGUCACUUAUAGAUGGAUCCGCGCUGCAUUAGCUAGUUGGUAAGGUAACGGCUUACCAAGGCAACGAUGCAUAGCCGACCUGAGAGGGUGAUCGGCCACACUGGAACUGAGACACGGUCCAGACUCCUACGGGAGGCAGCAGUAGGGAAUCUUCCGCAAUGGGCGAAAGCCUGACGGAGCAACGCCGCGUGAGUGAUGAAGAUCUUCGGAUCGUAAAACUCUGUUAUUAGGGAAGAACAUAUGUGUAAGUAACUGUGCACAUCUUGACGGUACCUAAUCAGAAAGCCACGGCUAACUACGUGCCAGCAGCCGCGGUAAUACGUAGGUGGCAAGCGUUAUCCGGAAUUAUUGGGCGUAAAGCGCGCGUAGGCGGUUUUUUAAGUCUGAUGUGAAAGCCCACGGCUCAACCGUGGAGGGUCAUUGGAAACUGGAAAACUUGAGUGCAGAAGAGGAAAGUGGAAUUCCAUGUGUAGCGGUGAAAUGCGCAGAGAUAUGGAGGAACACCAGUGGCGAAGGCGACUUUCUGGUCUGUAACUGACGCUGAUGUGCGAAAGCGUGGGGAUC
rnacentral:rRNA from 1 species